rnacentral:rRNA from 1 species
AGAGUUUGAUCCUGGCUCAGAUUGAACGCUGGCGGCAUGCUUUACACAUGCAAGUCGGACGGCAGCACAGAGAAGCUUGCUUCUUGGGUGGCGAGUGGCGAACGGGUGAGUAACAUAUCGGAACGUACCGAGUAAUGGGGGAUAACUAAUCGAAAGAUUAGCUAAUACCGCAUAUUCUCUGAGGAGGAAAGCAGGGGACCUUCGGGCCUUGCGUUAUUCGAGCGGCCGAUAUCUGAUUAGCUAGUUGGUGGGGUAAAGGCCUACCAAGGCGACGAUCAGUAGCGGGUCUGAGAGGAUGAUCCGCCACACUGGGACUGAGACACGGCCCAGACCCCUACGGGAGGCAGCAGUGGGGAAUUUUGGACAAUGGGCGCAAGCCUGAUCCAGCCAUGCCGCGUGUCUGAAGAAGGCCUUCGGGUUGUAAAGGACUUUUGUCAGGGAAGAAAAGGCUGUUGCUAAUACCGACAGCUGAUGACGGUACCUGAAGAAUAAGCACCGGCUAACUACGUGCCAGCAGCCGCGGUAAUACGUAGGGUGCGAGCGUUAAUCGGAAUUACUGGGCGUAAAGCGAGCGCAGACGGUUACUUAAGCAGGAUGUGAAAUCCCCGGGCUCAACCUGGGAACUGCGUUCUGAACUGGGUGACUAGAGUGUGUCAGAGGGAGGUAGAAUUCCACGUGUAGCAGUGAAAUGCGUAGAGAUGUGGAGGAAUACCGAUGGCGAAGGCAGCCUCCUGGGAUAACACUGACGUUCAUGCUCGAAAGCGUGGGUAGCAAACAGGAUUAGAUACCCUGGUAGUCCACGCCCUAAACGAUGUCAAUUAGCUGUUGGGCAACUUGAUUGCUUAGUAGCGUAGCUAACGCGUGAAAUUGACCGCCUGGGGAGUACGGU